rnacentral:rRNA from 1 species
UUAAAGAGUUCUAUAACUCCCAAACCCAUGUGAACAUACCUAACGUUGCCUCGGCAGGUCGCACCUACCUUGUAGCACCCUACCCUGUAGGGCCUACCCGGGAGAUGCGGGUAAGCCUGCCGGCGGCCCACCAAACUCUGUUUAAUAUUGAAUUCUGAACAUAUAACUAAAUAAGUUAAAACUUUCAACAACGGAUCUCUUGGUUCUGGCAUCGAUGAAGAACGCAGCGAAAUGCGAUAAGUAAUGUGAAUUGCAGAAUUCAGUGAAUCAUCGAAUCUUUGAACGCAUAUUGCGCCCAUUAGUAUUCUAGUGGGCAGGACCGUUCGAGCGUCAUUUCGACCCUUAAGCCUUAGUUGCUUAGUGUUGGGAGCCUACGGCAACGUAGCUCCUCAAAGUUAGUGGCGGAGUUGGUUCACACUCUAGACGUAGUAAUUUUUUAUCUCGCCUAUUAGUUGGACUGAUCCCCUGCCGUAAAACCCCCAACUUAUCAAGGUUGACCUCGAAUCGGUUCAGACAAACUCGCUAAAUUGAAGCAUCUUAGUCAGCGAAGGAAAAGAAACCAACAGGGAUUGCCCUAGUAACGGCGAGUGAAGCGGCAACAG